rnacentral:rRNA from 1 species
UCGAGAAUAAUUCACAAUGGGGGCAACCCUGAUGGUGCAACGCCGCGUGGAGGAUGACGGUCUUCGGAUUGUAAACUCCUGUCAUCUGGGAGUAAGACCUGGCUGUGAAUAGCAGACAGGGUUGAUAGUACCAGAAGAGGAAGGGACGGCUAACUUCGUGCCAGCAGCCGCGGUAAUACGAAGGUCCCAAGCGUUAUUCGGAAUCACUGGGCGUAAAGGGAGCGUAGGCGGCGUGGUAAGUCAGAUGUGAAAUCCCGGGGCUCAACCCCGGAACUGCAUCCGAUACUGCCAUGCUAGAGGAUUGGAGAGGUAGCUGGAAUUCUUGGUGUAGCAGUGAAAUGCGUAGAGAUCAAGAGGAACACUCGUGGCGAAAGCGAGCUACUGGACAAUUCCUGACGCUGAGGCUCGAAGGCUAGGGUAGCGAAAG